CAGGGCUUGCAUGGGGAGGACGUACUCAGAGAUGGGUAUUUCUUCGGACCUCCCGCACAGGUGCUGCAUGGCUGUCGUCAGCUCGUGUCGUGAGAUGUUGGGUUAAGUCCCGCAACGAGCGCAACCCUUGUCUUUAGUUGCCAGCACUUUCAGGUGGGCACUCUAGAGAGACUGCCGGUGACAAGCCGGAGGAAGGUGGGGAUGACGUCAAGUCCUCAUGGCCCUUAUGUCCUGGGCUACACACGUGCUACAAUGGCGGUGACAGUGGGAAGCUAUGUGGUGACACAGUGCUGAUCUCUAAAAGCCGUCUCAGUUCGGAUUGUACUCUGCAACUCGAGUACAUGAAGGUGGAAUCGCUAGUAAUCGCGGAUCAGCAUGCCGCGGUGAAUACGUUCCC
rnacentral:rRNA from 1 species